rnacentral:rRNA from 1 species
CGCAGCGGGGGAAAGCUUGCUUUCCUGCCGGCGAGUGGCGAACGGGUGAGUAAUACAUCGGAACGUGCCCUGUAGUGGGGGAUAACUAGUCGAAAGAUUAGCUAAUACCGCAUACGACCUGAGGGUGAAAGUGGGGGACCGCAAGGCCUCAUGCUAUAGGAGCGGCCGAUGUCUGAUUAGCUAGUUGGUGGGGUAAAGGCCUACCAAGGCGACGAUCAGUAGCUGGUCUGAGAGGACGAUCAGCCACACUGGGACUGAGACACGGCCCAGACUCCUACGGGAGGCAGCAGUGGGGAAUUUUGGACAAUGGGCGAAAGCCUGAUCCAGCAAUGCCGCGUGUGUGAAGAAGGCCUUCGGGUUGUAAAGCACUUUUGUCCGGAAAGAAAUGGCUCUGGUUAAUACCCGGAGUUGAUGACGGUACCGGAAGAAUAAGGACCGGCUAACUACGUGCCAGCAGCCGCGGUAAUACGUAGGGUCCAAGCGUUAAUCGGAAUUACUGGGCGUAAAGCGUGCGCAGGCGGUUGUGCAAGACCGAUGUGAAAUCCCCGGGCUUAACCUGGGAAUUGCAUUGGUGACUGCACGGCUAGAGUGUGUCAGAGGGAGGUAGAAUUCCACGUGUAGCAGUGAAAUGCGUAGAGAUGUGGAGGAAUACCGAUGGCGAAGGCAGCCUCCUGGGAUAACACUGACGCUCAUGCACGAAAGCGUGGGGAGCAAACAGGAUUAGAUACCCUGGUAGUCCACGCCCUAAACGAUGUCAACUAGUUGUUGGGGAUUCAUUUCCUUAGUAACGUAGCUA